UUCUGGCUCAGGAUAAACGCUGGCGGCGCACAUAAGACAUGCAAGUCGAACGAACUUAACUAUUUGUUUACAAAUAGAGCGGUUAGUGGCGGACUGGUGAGUAAUACGUAAGUAACCUGCCUAUUAGAGGGGAACGACAGUUAGAAAUGACUGCUAAUACCGCAUAUGCCAUAAAAAUCACAUGAUUUUAGUGGGAAAGGAGCAAUCCGCUAAUAGAUGGACUUACGCCUGAUUAGAUAGUUGGUGGGGUAAAGGCCUACCAAGUCAACGAUCAGUAGCCGAACUGAGAGGUUGAACGGCCACAUUGGGACUGAGAUACGGCCCAGACUCCUACGGGAGGCAGCAGUCGGGAUAUUGCGCAAUGGAGGAAACUCUGACGCAGUGACGCCGCGUGCAGGAAGAAGGUUUUCGGAUUGUAAACUGCUUUAGACAGGGAAGAAAAAUGACAGUACCUGUAGAAUAAGCUCCGGCUAACUACGUGCCAGCAGCCGCGGUAAUACGUAGGGAGCAAGCGUUAUCCGGAUUUAUUGGGUGUAAAGGGUGCGUAGACGGAGAUACAAGUUGGUCGUGAAAUCCCUCGGCUCAACUGAGGAACUGCAACCAAAACUAUAUCCCUUGAGUACUGGAGGGGAAAGCGGAAUUCCUAGUGUAGCGGUGAAAUGCGUAGAUAUUAGGAGGAACACCGGUGGCGAAGGCGGCUUUCUGGACAGUAACUGACGCUGAGGCACGAAAGUGUGGGGAGCAAACAGGAUUAGAUACCCUGGUAGUCCACACUGUAAACGAUGGAUACUGGGUGUAGGGGAUGAUAAAUCCUCUGUGCCGUCGCAAACGCAGUAAGUAUCCCACCUGGGGAGUACGGCCGCAAGGUUGCAACUCAAAUGAAUUGACGGA
rnacentral:rRNA from 1 species